UAGAAAAAGGUCAAUUUGCGUCGGCCCAUUUGCGUCGCACAAACACGGAAACGAUGCAAAUAUACUAUUUGCGUCGCAUGUAACAAUGAAUCGACGCAUAAGACGAACUAUGUGCGUCGUAUCUAAAUAUUGUGCGAUGCAAAUCAUCUAUGUGCGUCGCAUGAAGGUCAUGGUGCGACGCACAAAACAAAGUAAUCUGCGUCGGACCCCUUAGCCCAUCCGACGCAGAUCAGCCCAAAAGCCCAAUUUAUUUCUAACCCCAUAACCAGCGCCCCUCUUAACAUUACUCAAAACCCUAAAGCUUCAAAACCAACCCGCCUCCCUUUCGUCCCUCUCAACCCGCCUCCCUCUCUUUCUCUCUCCCUUUCGUCCCUCUCAACCCGCCUCCCUCUCUUUCUCUCUCACUUUCUCUCUCACUUUCGUCCCUCUCUUUGUCUCUCACUUUCGUCCGACGAUCUGCUUCAGUUCGCAUCAACCGCCGAUCGAAACUUCGACGCCAUGACCUUCAGUGAGCGAUCUUCAGCGUCGACGACACUAACACCAGCAACAACACUUCGAACAACUGACGAAUCUUCAGCGGACGAACGAAUCUUCAGAAUUCAGAUCUUGUUUGAAGACCUCGUUUUUUCAUUUCCGUGAAUUUUUUCGAAGAUUUCCGUGAAUUUUCGAAGAACUCAUUUUUUCAUCCUAAAAUCUCCAGGUAACUUCUUUUUUUUUCUUGUUAUUCGCCUGUUUUAAUUUUUCGCAAUUUUUUCAUUUUUUCAGAUGUUGUUUGAAAUCUUCGUUUUUUUAAUUUUCGUGAAUUCCAGAUGUGUUCGAAGUAUAACAACGAGAAGGAAGAUCAAGAUGUGAAGGAAGCUCCAACAUUUUUUUUAACUAUAUAUUGAUAGAUUUGUUUUUUAUGAAUUAUUGUAAUAUAUAUGUUCUAAAAUUCGAAGCAUUUUCGUUUUUAUUUUUCCAGAUCUGGUCGAAUUUUUGUACAGUAUUGUUAUUAGUUUUAUUUGAUUUUCAAUCCUCUAUCUCUUA